AAAUAUGAUCAACUAAGAAUUGAUGGUAUCAUGUAUCCCUUUAUCCAGAAUUCGGGGCCCAGAAAACUUCAGAUUUAGGAUAUAUCCCUGAAACUUAGAUGUAUUUAGUACGUAUGCAAAUAUAUACUUAGAAUAUUUAUAAAUAUUUAAUUUUUAACUCUUUUAUAUAUACAAUUGGAAGCUCAGAGAUAUUACUGAGAAUGCCUUUGGAUAUUAGAAAUAUGACUAAUUACAAAACCAAUACUCUGAGUUAGCCAUUCAGUUUUUAUGAAAAGCCUAAAGUGUCUUUAUCUUUUAAAUUUAGCAAAUUCCAUUCAGAUGUCAACGAACUUGUUAGUUUCUGUAUUAAACAGUUUAAUUCUGGCAUAUAAGAUAGAGGAAAAUUAGACUAUUUCAUAUUUGAGUGAAUGAGUAAUUGCAAUGGAUAUAUUAAGCUACUUCAUUUUUUCUAAAUAUUCCAUUAAAGAAAAUAUAGGAAAAAAGGAAAAUAAAAAUAGAGUACUGCUGCCUAAAAUUCUAACUCUAAUCCAUAGCUUUGCCAAUCUCUUUUUACUCACUCUGGUCACCUACUCCCAAGGUUGAACCCUGGACCUACCUGUCUUCCAAACUCCCUGUAAUGUGGUUGGAGACAGUAACUCAAAAAAUCCCUGUCUCCAGUCACAACCACUGUGACCAUUUGCAGUCUCAUCACAAUCCCUAAACACACCCUAAUGCCUUCUCAACAUUCCCACUCUCCUUAAUCCACUAGAAUUUGCCUUCUUUUCAGCAGAAUGUGCUGAUUCUACAAUUUACAAUCUUUGGGAUGUUUUGACCACACCAUAAGGUUGAGAGCUUUGCAGGCAGUGUAGCCUAUCGAAACUGUUUCAAAAUCAUGUAUUCAGGGGUCUCCAUAUCAUGAAUGCCUUCAGUUUAUGUGCAGUCUGAGCCCUUGGAGAAAGAAUAAUCAGUGGUAAUGACCAAUGGACCAGUGGACCAGCAUUUUCGAGGCUACAAUCCUCUGCAGGUAGAAUUCAGAAGAAAACAGAACUGAAAGAGUUCACAGGAUUUGUUGGAAGGAUAGAAGAGUGAGACCCUACCCAAAGCUCCUGCUCUCCUGGGAUUGUCUAUUCAUCAAUAGUGUUGCCAUUCACUCAGCUUCACAAAACAGAAACCUAGAAAUCAUUCUUGACUCUUUUUUUUUUUUUUAAUUAAAUACAUCUUCAAUCUAUGGUACUUUUUACCAUCCCACUGGCCCCACCCUAGUCCUAGGAUCUAUUACCUCUCAGCCAUACUGCAGGAAUAAGCACUUCAAACAGAUCAUUCCUUGUUCUCUCUGCCCCUCUUCUAAUCCAUUUCUCACACAAAAGCCACAGUAAUCUUUUUUUUUUUCUUUAGUAUGAAUCAGAUCAAAGCACUUUCAGUUUAAAACCAUUCAAAGAUUUCCCACUGCUCUUAGGAUAAAAUCCUAAACCUUUAAUUGAUCUACCAGGCCCUCCCUUCGUACUUUACUAACCUCAUCUUGCAUCAUUUUUACUUCUUAAUUUUGCUCCGAGCACUUUGUACUUGCUUCAAUUCCUCAAAUACUACUUCUUUUCUACUUCAGGGCCUUUAAACAUGUUUUACCUUUUAUCUGUGUCUACAGAGUCCCAUCAAGAGAUGGGAAUACCAGACCACCUGACAUGCCUCUUGAGAAAUCGGUAUGCAGGUCAGGAAGCAACAGUUAGAACUGG
ensembl:lncRNA